rnacentral:rRNA from 1 species
CGGAGGGUGCAAGCGUUAUCCGGAUUUACUGGGUUUAAAGGGUGCGUAGGUGGGUCUGUAAGUCAGUGGUGAAAUCUCCGAGCUUAACUCGGAAACUGCCAUUGAUACUAUAGAUCUUGAAUUAUCUGGAGGUAAGCGGAAUAUGUCAUGUGGCGGUGAAAUGCUUAGAUAUGACAUAGAACACCAAUUGCGAAGGCAGCUUACUACGGAUAUAUUGACACUGAGGCACGAAAGCGUGGGGAUCAAACAGGAUUAGAUACCCUGGUAGUCCACGCCCUAAACGAUGGAUACUCGACAUCAGCGAUACACUGUUGGUGUCUGAGCGAAAGCAUUAAGUAUCCCACCUGGGAAGUACGAUCGCAAGAUUG